rnacentral:rRNA from 1 species
GUGGGGAAUCUUCCGCAAUGGACGAAAGUCUGACGGAGCAACGCCGCGUGAGUGAAGAAGGUUUUCGGAUCGUAAAGCUCUUUCGUUAGGGACGAACGUGCUCUUUGUGAAUAAUGAGGAGUAAUGACGGUACCUAAAUAAGAAGCCACGGCUAACUACGUGCCAGCAGCCGCGGUAAUACGUAGGUGGCAAGCGUUGUCCGGAAUUAUUGGGCGUAAAGCGCGCGCAGGCGGGAUAUCAAGUCUGUCUUAAAAGUGCGAGGCUCAACCUCAUGAGGGGACAGAAACUGGUAUUCUUGAGUGUCGGAGAGGAAAGUGGAAUUCCAAGUGUAGCGGUGAAAUGCGUAGAGAUUUGGAAGAACACCAGUGGCGAAGGCGACUUUCUGGACGAUGUCUGACGCUGAGGCGCGAAAGCUAGGGGAGCGAACGGGAUUAGAUACCCGGGUAGUCC